rnacentral:rRNA from 1 species
CCUACGGGGCGCAGCAGUGAGGAAUAUUGGUCCAUGGGCGGAAGCCUGAACCAGCCAAGUCGCGUGAGGGAUUAAGGCCCUAUGGGUCGUAAACCUCUUUUGUCAGGGAGCAAUGGCGUCCACGUGUGGGCGUAUGGAGAGUACCUGAAGAAAAAGCAUCGGCUAACUCCGUGCCAGCAGCCGCGGUAAUACGGAGGAUGCGAGCGUUAUCCGGAUUUAUUGGGUUUAAAGGGUGCGUAGGCGGGACCUUAAGUCAGCGGUAAAAUUGCGGUGCUCCACGCCGUAGAGCCGUUGACACUGGGGUUCUUGAGUGGGCGAGAAGAAGGCGGAAUGCGUGGUGUAGCGGUGAAAUGCAUAGAUAUCACGCAGAACCCCGAUUGCGAAGGCAGCCUUCCGGCGCCCUACUGACGCUGAGGCACGAAAGUGCGGGGAUCGAACAGGAUUAGAUACCCUAGUAGUC